rnacentral:lncRNA from 1 species
UUUUUUUGCUAAUUUUUUUUCUUCUAAAACUCAUUAGUAAUAUAUUAUUCAUAUCCACAUACAUUUUCUUGGUUAAACUCCAACUAAACUAAAAAAAUCCUUGAAAAAUAAACCAACUAAAAUGGAACAGUCAUCUUCAUCUUCAUCUUCUUCGCUGCUUCGCCUUUCACAUCUAAUGGAACCCAUUUCGUUCAUAUCAAGAAUCAUUCCGAUCAAAAUAGAAGGAAUCAAGUGAUUUGGCUUAGUUUGUUGAUGUUCUCUCCUUUUCGCCGGAUUCCACGAAUAAACUUCUUCUAUCUCAUUAUCAUAUAUUCUCAAAAUAAUCACUUAAUAUGCAAAUCUGAAGAACUAAAACAAAACCCAAAGAAAAUUCUAUUAAAAGCAUGUAAAAUGUUGCUUAGCCUAAUUAGUACCAUAAACAAACAAUAUAUUUUCCUAAAUUAUCACCCUGAGCAUGAAUGUAAUUUGCACAAAAAUAAUAGUAUUAAAAAACAGCACCAAAAAAAUACAAAGACGACUUCUUCAAAAAUUACCAGAUCCGAAAUAUCCAUAAAUUCUUGCUCGUUGUUCAAUCUUCAAACCCUCUUCAACUUCUUCAAAAAUUACCAGAUCCCAAAACAUUAACAAUUUAAAACCAUCUUCUUCCUUCUCUGUCAAAUCUCCCGAACCAGAUCUGAAAAAUCUCCCGAUUUGAUCGGAAAAAACUUAACAAUUUAAAACCAUCUUGUUCUUUCUCUGUUAAAUAACGUUAAAAACUUAAAAUCAUCUUUCUUCUUUCGAUUUCAUCUUCGGACAUCAGCGAGAGGGAGAAUCGUCAUCGUCGUCGAGAAUCAAAAGUCGCCGUCAUCGUCGUCGAGAAUCAAAAGUCGCUGACGAGUUGGGAGAAGUCUGGUUCGAAGAAGAAGAAGAGAAUAAUAAGAAUAAGAAGAAGGAGAAUAAUAAUAAUAAUAAUAAUAAUCCCUCACUUUUAAAAUAUUAGAUAAGUUUAUAUUUUUAAAGUAAAAUUAAAAUAUUUAAAAUUUUAAAAAAAUAUGAAUUAAUUAAUUUAUAUAAAUAUAUUUGUAAAAAUUAUUUAUUAAUUUAUUUUAUUAUUAAUUAAUUAAUUUAAUUAUUUAUUAUGUAUAUUAAUUUGAUUAAUAUUUUGUUUAACUAUUUGUUAUAGAAUUAAGUAUAAUUUAAUUUAAUAGUUAUCCAACUUAGCUUCUCUCUCCUGCCACGUAUUGCCACAUCAUUGUUCUGUUAAAUGAUAACAGACAUAGACGGCAAAAUCACUUUUUGUAAAUAAUAUAUAGUUCAAUGAGUUGACCAUAAAAAAAAUCAGUUCGAUGAUGCAUUUGUAAAUCGACCCUUAGUAGAGUGGGGAAAAGUGUAUUUAACCCGAAGAGAAAAUGUUCUGGAGACCCGACGAUGAGUGGGUUGCCAUUCCCCUAUAUGUUCUAAAAUACGGGGUUCGGUUCCCACUUCAUGAAUUCAUCUCGUCCUUUCUUUGUUUUGUGGGGAUCGGGUUCGCACAACCUGUGUCGAAAUCGUAUAUCCACUUGAUAUCCUUUAUCGCUUUGUGCCAAGAGGUCGGGAUAACUCCUGGCCUCGACUUCUUUUUCGCUUUAUUCACCGUUGGUAGGUCAAAGAACCUGGCCUUCGGUAGUUAAACAAACAAGCCAACCGAGUUGUCCCCAUCAAGACCCCUUUGAGCAACAAGGGGUGGCAUCCACAGUGGAUUUAUGUUAAGGGGACCGACCUUCAACUUCUUCCUCACUGGGCCCAUCCCAAAGAUCUCAUCUCCAAGGUGUCUAAGUUCCCGAAGGAUCGGGCGGGUGCUUUCAAGGAGUUCUACAAAAAGUGGAGUAAGACCGAAUGAAGUCUGUUGGUUUUGUCCAACGAAACCUGGUUGUACAAACAUGGGUGUAAGUAUCUUACUCCGAACCUCUGCAUAAUUCCAAUGUUUGUCGUCUAGCUUCAAUAAUCAGCUUUCUAACUCAUUCCUUUUUGUGCAGUGAUAAUUUUCAAACCCGAAGAGGCCGAUGAGUCCUUGGCCCCUCUUCCCAUCAUGAUCGAGCCGAUCCGUCUACCUGUCACUGACGAGACGAUCGAGGAGGAAACCAUUCCAAUUGCGGAACUCUCCACUGGUUCUGCAUCUGGUCCCACCCCUCUGAACACCACGGCUGACCCAUCCAAGACUAUGUUGAAGAUGAACCGAUCGGAGAAGAUAACUUUGCUCAAACAGAGUAAGAAGAAGCAUUCUACCAAGGCCUCCUCCAAGCCAUCUUCAUUGCUGGUUCUGAAGCCAUCUCCAACCACUCCAGUUAUCAUCUGCGAGGAUUCGGAGGAGACCGAAGAAGUUCCUCUCGAUCAUCGUGCAAAGAGGCCUCAUCUGACAGAGGAUCCGGGUCUUCAGAAUGCGGAUGUCGAUCCUCUUCCUAGUUUAAUCCCCACCUCCCGAUCUGUUCAUGAAGCCGGUUCCUCUUUUGGGACGCCGACCACAUUUUGGCCGAGAAGCCCUUCCGAGGUAUUUCCUUUCAACACACUCGACCAUUUCAAAUUACGAGGAGACGACGAGCGUUUCAAGGGGUUUUCUUCCGAGGAGCUCUUUGUGGCCUAUAUCAAGGCCCAGUGUCAGGUAAAUCUGAGAUACCGAUGUAGGUAUCCUCGUCGAUCCUCUAUUUUUCGUAACUUAUGUAUUUCCUCUAAUGUUUGUAGGCCAACGCCAUCCUCGCCCGAACCAUUAUGCUUGUGGCUCGAGCUACUAAGAAUGAGUCUCGGGGUUGUGACCGACAUGGAACUACUCAAGGCUGAGAUUCGGCGUCUUCGGUCGAACUUGGAGAAAGAGAAGGAACUUCAGGUCGGGGCUAAAAAAAAAAGGAUCGAGGCUGAUCAUCGAGCUGGCGAACUUGAGGAACGAUACUCUUUACUUCAGCAGGAGUUCGUUGGCCUCGAUGGUCAUGCCAAGAAGCUCGUCACGGAUAAGGAACUUAUAGCAGAGGAGAACAAGGGUUUGCGGGUGUCUCUUCAUGCCGUUGAGGAAAAGUUCACUGGAAUACACAGUCAGCUGAGGACGUUGAUUCUGGAGAAAAACACCUUGAGGGAAGAACGGGCCGUCGCCAAGAAGCUAGCCAUCAAGGAGUAUGAAGAAUCGUCCUCCCUAACCGAUAAGAUCAUAACCCAGUUUGCUGAAGAUUUUGAGGCUUAUCAGGAAAAGGCUCGGGCGAAGCUGAUUGUUGCUGGGCAAGAUGCUGUAAUCCUUGACUCCUCUGAUGAAGAAUUUGAAACCGCCGAUGAUGGUCCUCAGGAAUAGCUUCUUAAAGGACUUGUAAAUUUUGUAAUCUUCAUUUAUUUUCUUUAUUUGUAACUUUCUCGAUCAGUUAUGCUUGUAGCUUUAUCGAUCAGUGAUGUUGUGUGAAACUUUCUGAUCGGUUUUGUUCGAAGCUUGUCUGAUCGGAUUUUGUAAGAGCUUAUAAAUAUGAAUGAAGUAUAAUAUUUUUGUCGAUCAGUUAUACUUGUGAGUUUUGCCGAUCAGUUUUGUCAUUUCCAACUUGCUGAUCGGCUUGUACCCGAAGUGUAUCCGAUUCGAUUUGCCCUUUUUCCGAUCAGUUUUACUUGUGGCUUUGACCGAUCAGUUAUGUCAUCCUGACUUUCUGAUCGGUUUAAGCCCGAAGCUUGCCUGAUUCGGUUUGCAAUUAUAAUUUUGUUGACCAGUUAUACUCGUGACUUUUACCGAUCAGUUAUGUCGUUUCGAACUCUAUGAUCGGUUUAAGUCCGAUGUUUAUCUGAUCGGAUAGGUAAUAGCCUAUGAAUAUAAAUGAAGUACAUACGUAUCCGAAGAAAAAUUUCAUUUAUUUCAUUGAUAACUAGAAUGACUUACAUAAGUAGAGGAAAGAAGGACAUAACUUUUGCUGGUAAUAUUUUCUAAGUCUUCCAGCAUUCCAUGUGUUCUUUUCUUCCGAACCAUCCAUUUCUCGAAGCCGGUAUGUACCUGGCUUCUGCACUUCCAUCACUUCAUAGGGCCCCUCCCAGUUAGGCAUCAGCUUGCUAGUGUUCUGGGGGGUUGAUGCCUCCGACUCCCGAAGGACCAAAUCUCCUCUGCUUCACCUUCUGAUUAUAGUGUCGGACUGUUCACUUCUGGUAAAUUUCCAACCUUAUUAGAGCUGAAUCUCGAACUUUCUCCAAAAGGUCCAGAUUUAACCGUAAUCCAUGAUAAUUGUAUAACUCCUUAUAUUGGCUGACCCGAAGAGUAGGAGAUCUGUAGCGCCCCGAAUCCGGGUCCCGAAUCACCGCGGAUCCGGUUCGCUAUUUCUAUAACUGUUGCGGAAGAUAUAAACAUAAAUUGUUUAUACAUUAAACAUUAUACACUAUCCCCAAGGUCGAGUAACCAUAACUUAUACACAUUUCAUAACUUAUCUGACACAUGAUAUUAUCAUCAUACAAGACUAUUACAAAUCUAAUCGCGCAUAUUAACCCUAAGCUGGAUCUGUCUUUAACUUUCCUUGUAUCCGAAGCAUUCGUCUUUAUCUGUAAUGUUUUAUCAUGAUAUAACAAGGGUGAGCAUGAAAGUUGCCCAACAAGUUUAAAUACAAUUUAAGGAUAUAUCAUGAUUGAAAGAGUGAAUAAUAAGCUGGCUAUAAUUCACAAUGUAGUUGUGAAUUAGCAUGAACAAACCUUUGACUGAACAAGUAAUAAACAUGAACAAUAUAUAUCUGGACCAACUGGUAAUGAAGGUGAUCAGCCUUUCAUACCUGACUUAUACAUACAAGAUGUACAUAGUACAAUUCUACAUGGAAAUCAGUAACGAUUAACCAUAAGCAUAUCUGAAUGAAACACUCUUAGUAGAGUUAAGAAAAAUAAACUUGCUUAUUCCGUUGAUUACCGAUACGAAAAAUAACUUAGCUUUAUCCGAAGACCUAAUACAGAUAAUACCAAUCUCCAAAUAUUAGAAUAAUAUCAUCACAGUAUAAAAUAACCUAAACACAUUAUCACAUAAUCCUAUCAGUCUAUACAACACAUAAGACUUAGCAUCAAAUCAGACUAUUUAAGUCUGAGUUGAAACCGACACAAUUCAAUCAUCCCGACGGUCUAAUCGGAUAAUUAUCGAGUUUAAGUUCCAUUAAACUCUGUCUAAACACUAACCAAUCAUAGUAUCAGUCAAAACCUUUUUCAUAAACUUGCAAAAAUUUUCAGAUAAUUAAUAUCAUUUAACAACAUUUUUCAAUCAUUAAUACUGUAUUUAAAUGAAUUAAAUACCACAAUAUUCUAAUAUCAUUAAUAUUUAUUUAAUAUUAAACAUUAAUGAAACACAUGUCAUAAUAUUAUAACAUAUUUGUAAUAUCUCAAAGUAUUUUCAAUACUUUAUUAUUUCCUUUAAAUGUUUUUAAAGUAAUUAAAAACAUAAACCAAUAACUGAUAUUAAUAUAAAUACCACAUUAUUCCUUGAUCAUUAAUAUUAAUUUAAUACCAAAUAUCAAUGAAAAUCAUAACAUAAUAUUAUAAUAUAAUUAUAACAUCACAAAGUAUUUUAAUACUUAAAAAUCAUAUUUCUAUGAUUUUUAAACAAUCAAAUUCAUUAUCCGAUAAUUGCUAUAAAUAUUAAAAUAUUAAUAUUUUCAUGACAAAAUAUCAAAAGUUAUAUUUUAUAACUCAAAAUAUUUUUAUAACACUUAAAUCAUUUUUAUAUGAUUUUUAAAGCAUUAAUUCUAUUUUUCCAUAAUUUUCCAAGUUCCUUUAGUAUUUUUCAAAAAUCAUUUCUAGUUAAUUCCUUAAGAAAUUAGCUACCUUGUGCUUAACUCCAGAAAUUCCCAUCUUCUGACACAAUCUUACACAUGUUAUCGUGAGUCUCCAGUUUAAAUUUCGUGGCAAUCGGAGUUGUAGAACUCCGGUUAUAGCCGUUUUCGUCGGAAAAUCACAAAAAUUGAAAUGGUCAUAACUCGGUCAUUUUAAGUCGGAAUUAGCUCAUUUUUGGACACAAGGUACUUAAUACCAUAUAUUUUCAUUUCCCAAAAGGCCGGAAUUUAUUUCAUAAAUUAAAUUACCGAAACAGCCCUCACAAAAUAUUAGCAGCUUACUUUUUGUCAAAAACAGUUUUGGAGUCCUUUACUAAAUCUUAAAUAAAAUGAGAUCUAUAACUCCGAUUAAUGAUCCGUCAAUUUUGUUGGAUUCGUAUCUUUCCGAUCUACAAUUUUCAUCUAUCACAAUCCAUAUUUGGACAUGUUAAGCUCUCGGAAAUUAGCCCGGAAGUGGCUGUUAAAAACUGUUGCUCUAACAGUUUUUCUUACCUUUGAGUAGUUUGGGAGAAAUUCCAUAACUUGCUCAUUUUUCAACCUAAUUGAGUGAUUCCAAAGGGGUUUUAUCCUUAACACAUAUAUCUAGCUCCACAAAUUGACCACACUCAAAAAUUCAAAGUAGAAUGAGAGAUAAGGUCAUUUCCAUAUCAUGCUUGGUUUCUCCAAAAAUUUUGUUUUCGCAGUUUUGAUUAUGCUUCUUCCGAACGUCAUAACUACUUCAUCCGGAGUCCGAAUUAGUCCGUUCCGGAGUCUAUGGAAAGCUUAUUUAGUGUACUACAACAUAUCAAAAGUCCAGAAUUUUUAGACCAUCCAAACAAAUCCGGAAUUUUCUGUUUAGGGGCAGCAGUUACCAAUUCAUUUAAAAAAAACUGUUUUGGUUCUUCUUCUUUGUUCAAGCUCAUCAACCUUAAAAAUGGCAAGAUCUAACCAUAAAAUAUCAUAUAUUAUGUAGACCUUCCCUCAUAUGGUUCAAAAUCAUAAGUUCAACACUUGGUCUAAAACAACCAUAACAAAACACAUAAACUAACUAGAGUUUUGAGUUUAGGAAAUUUUCAUACCUUUAGUUAUAAUCCUCUAGCUUUUGGUGGCCCUCUU